GAAAGAUGUAGUAUUCUCAGCUCCAGCACCACAUGCUGUCCCCAUCAUGAUGAUAAUGGACUGAAUCUCUGAAACUGGCCUGCGGAGACCCUGAGCCAAGUUGGCCUCAGCUUUCAGCAGGAUCCAAGGCUUCCCGUGGCCGCAUCGACAGUUAAGCCGUCCCUCUUUUAGUGGUUGCUGCUGCAAGGCCGUACACUCUCCCAGCUAAGUGCAGCCACCUGUGUGACCUCAGCCCUGCUGCUGCCAUCUUGCCUGACCAGCCACCGCCAAAAGUUACGCAGAAUAGCUGAACGCCUUUGCCACCUUCUGGUCAAAGAUAAUUACUGCAUCUGGAGUAGAAACCACCAGAUUUUAUUUAUUUAUUAUAUAUGCAGUCUUCUGCCUGCACGCCAGCAGAGGGUACCAGAUCUCAUUCAAGGUGGUUGUGAGCCACCAUGUGGUUGCCAGGAAUUGAACUCAGGACCUCUGGAAGAACAGUCAGUGCUCUUAACCACUGAGCCAUCUCUCCAGCCCCAAACACUAAACUUUUGUAAUGCCCAUGAGAAAGGACAAACAGCUGUGGAAAGACACUGGACUAAGGAAAAAACUACUGAACUGAAUCAGCUGGUAUACUUCAAAGAUGUACUAACCUCUGUAUGGAAACCAGGACAUGUGUUACAAUGGGGUAGGGGUUUUGCUUUGGUUUCCACAGGAGAAGAAAAACUUUGGAUACCAUCAAUUUGAUCAAGAUUUGAGUUGAAAAGGAAAAACCUCUCGACGAGGAGAAAUGACAGGUAUUCUACUAAGCCAAUGAAGACCUGCCUGAUAGCAAUCCCUGGACACCCCAGAAAGAAAAUGGGCCAUACCUCCUUGACUGCACUGGAUCCAACUUGCUUCAUUUCAAUGGACACUCUGGCUAGAGCUUCGGGUACUGACUUCAAUCGAGUUGAAGAUUUCAAUCGAGAUCUUCAAUCAAGGGAAUCCCAUCUAAUAGGGACUGGAUACAAUCCAUUCAAGACUUUCACUAUACUAACAUUUUCUUCCUACAG
rnacentral:lncRNA from 1 species